GAUGAACGCUGGCGGCGUGCCUAAUACAUGCAAGUCGAACGAAAAGACGCGGCGCUUGCUCCUCUCACGUUAGCGGCGGAGGGGUGAGUAACACGUGGAAACCCUCCUUAUAAGACUGGGAUAACUUCGGAAAACCGGAGCUAAUCCCGGAUAAUAUAUUGAACCGCAUGGUUCAUUAGAGAAAGUCGGUUUUGCGGUCACUUAUAGAUGGUUCCGCGCCGGUUUAGUUAGUUGGUAAGGUAAAGGCUUUUCAAGGCAACGAUGCGUAUGCGACCUGUGAGGGUGGUCGCCCACACGGGAAGUGGGACACGGUCAAGGCGCCUACGGGAGGCAGCAGUAGCGAAUCUUCCGCAAUGGGCGGAAGCCUGACGGAGCGACGCCGCGUGAGAGAUAAAAGUCUUGGGAUCGUAAAGCUCUGUUACUAGGGGUGAACAAAUGUGUAAGUAACUGUGCACGUCUUGACGGUACCGAAUCAGAAAGCCACGGCUAACUACGUG
rnacentral:rRNA from 1 species